GUCCACGCCGUAAACGAUGAGCACUAGGUGUCGCGGGUAUUGACCCCUGCGGUGCCGACGCUAACGCAUUAAGUGCUCCGCCUGGGGACUACGGCCGCAAGGUUAAAACUCAAAGGAAUUGACGGGGCCCGCACAAGCGGUGGAGCAUGUGGUUCAAUUCGACGCAACGCGAAGAACCUUACCUGGGCUAGACAACGGAGGCCCGCCCCAGAGAUGGGGUUUUCCCUUCGGGGACUUCCGGUUCAGGUGCUGCAUGGCUGUCGU
rnacentral:rRNA from 1 species